GAUGAACGCUGGCGGCGUGCCUAAUACAUGCAAGUCGAGCGAACAGACGAGGAGCUUGCUCCUUCGACGUUAGCGGCGGACGGGUGAGUAACACGUAGGUAACCUACCUAUAAGACUGGGAUAACUUCGGGAAACCGGAGCUAAUACCGGAUAAUAUUUCGAACCGCAUGGUUCGAUAGUGAAAGAUGGCUUUGCUAUCACUUAUAGAUGGACCUGCGCCGUAUUAGCUAGUUGGUAAGGUAACGGCUUACCAAGGCAACGAUACGUAGCCGACCUGAGAGGGGGAUCGGCCGCACUGGAGCUGAGACACGGUCCAGACGCCUACGGGAGGCAGCAGUAGGGAAUCUUCCGCAAUGGGCGAAAGCCUGACGGAGCAACGCCGCGUGAGUGAUGAAGGUCUUCGGAUCGUAAAACUCUGUUAUUAGGGAAGAACAAACGUGUAAGUAACUGUGCACGUCUUGACGGUACCUAAUCAGAAAGCCACGGCUAACUACGUG
rnacentral:rRNA from 1 species